AUUGAACGCUGGCGGCAUGCCUUACACAUGCAAGUCGAACGGCAGCACGGGAGCAAUCCUGGUGGCGAGUGGCGAACGGGUGAGUAAGGUAUCGGAACGUGCCCAGUCGUGGGGGAUAACGUAGCGAAAGUUACGCUAAUACCGCAUACGAUCUAUGGAUGAAAGCGGGGGAUCGCAAGACCUCGCGCGAUUGGAGCGGCCGAUAUCAGAUUAGGUAGUUGGUGGGGUAAAGGCUCACCAAGCCGACGAUCUGUAGCUGGUCUGAGAGGACGACCAGCCACACUGGGACUGAGACACGGCCCAGACUCCUACGGGAGGCAGCAGUGGGGAAUUUUGGACAAUGGGCGAAAGCCUGAUCCAGCCAUGCCGCGUGCAGGAUGAAGGCCUUCGGGUUGUAAACUGCUUUUGUACGGAACGAAAAGGUUUGGGCUAAUAAGCUGAGCUCAUGACGGUACCGUAAGAAUAAGCACCGGCUAACUACGUGCCAGCCGCCGCUUAA
rnacentral:rRNA from 1 species